AUUUGAGCCUAUUACUGCAGUUAGUGAUCAUGCUGCUGACCGACGUGGUAAUGACUAUCCAGUCAACCGACAAAUGGAUGCCAUUCACCCAAAUUUGUCUGAGGUGUCUUCCUUGGAUGAUGAGUCCAGAAACAAUGAGGAGAAAAUUGCACGGGAAGAACUGUCUAAUGUCCUUAAUCCUCCUAUUGUGUUUAAGCAUCCAACUCAUCUUAUUACCCCCUCUGAGAUACUGAUGGCUGUUUCGUCCUCUGAAACAACUAAUA
rnacentral:misc_RNA from 1 species